CAUGCAGUCGAGCGGAUGAAGGAGCUUGCUCCUGGAUUCAGCGGCGGACGGGUGAUUUAUGCAUAGGAAUCUGCCUGGUAGUGGGGGACAACGUUUCGAAAGGAACGCUAAUACCGCAUACGUCCUACGGGAGAAAGCAGGGGACCUUCGGGCCUUGCGCUAUCAGAUGAGCCUAGGUCGGAUUAGCUAGUUGGUGAGGUAAUGGCUCACCAAGGCGACAAUCCGUAACUGGUCUGAGAGGAUGAUCAGUCACACUGGAACUGAGACACGGUCCAGACUCCUACGGGAGGCAGCAGUGGGGAAUAUUGGACAAUGGGCAAAAGCCUGAUCCAGCCAUGCCCCGUGGUGAACAAAGUCUUCGGAUUGGAAAGGACUUUAAGC
rnacentral:rRNA from 1 species